rnacentral:lncRNA from 1 species
CCUCCGGAGGCGCUGACGUCAGCCCGAGCGGCGGCCGCGGAGCGUUUCUGGAAAACACCCAGGAAGAGCUAAUUUCAGAGCCAAACACAAGUGAAC